rnacentral:rRNA from 1 species
UACGGGGGGGGCAAGCGUUGUUCGGAAUUACUGGGCGUAAAGGGUUCGUAGGUGGCCAACUAAGUCAGACGUGAAAUCCCCCAGCUUAACUGGGGAACUGCGUCUGAUACUGGUUGGCUUGAGUGCAGGAGAGGAACGCGGAAUUCCAGGUGUAGCGGUGAAAUGCGUAGAUAUCUGGAGGAACACCGGUGGCGAAGGCGGCGUUCUGGACUGCAACUGACACUGAGGAACGAAAGCCAGGGGAGCAAACGGG